rnacentral:sRNA from 1 species
UUUACUGUUAUUGCCUGGCCUCGCUCAUU